rnacentral:rRNA from 1 species
UACGUAGGCAGCGAGCGUUGUUCGGAAUUACUGGGCGUAAAGAGUGUGCAGGCGGUGCUCCAAGUCUGUUGUGAAAUCUCCCGGCUUAACUGGGAGGGUGCGGCGGAAACUGGAGUGCUCGAGUGUGGGAGAGGUAAGCGGAAUUCCUGGUGUAGCGGUGAAAUGCGUAGAUAUCAGGAGGAACACCAGCGGCGAAGGCGGCGCUCUGGGCCGGUACUGACGCUGAGGAGCGAAAGCGUGGGGAGCGAACAGG